GCGAACGCUGGCGGCAGGCCUCACACAUGCAAGUCGCACGCACCUUUCGGGGUUAGUGGCGGACGGGUGAGUAACACGUGGGAACGUGCCUUUAGGUUCGGAAUAACUCAGGGAAACUUGUGCUAAUACCGAAUGUGCCCUUCGGGGGAAAGAUUAAUCGCCUUUAGAGCGGCCCGCGUCUGAUUAGCUAGUUGGUUGAGGUAAUGGCUCACCAAGGCGACGAUCAGUAGCUGGUCUGAGAGGAUGAUCAGCCACAUUGGGACUGAGACACGGCCCAAACUCCUACGGGAGGCAGCAGUGGGGAAUCUUGCGCAAUGGGCGAAAGCCUGACGCAGCCAUGCCGCGUGAAUGAUGAAGGUCUUAGGAUUGUAAAAUUCUUUCACCGGGGACGAUAAUGACGGUACCCGGAGAAGAAGCCCCGGCUAACUGCGU
rnacentral:rRNA from 1 species